UUGCUUUGUUGGCAUGCGUACUAGAAUUGGAACGCUGCAGAGAAGAUUGGCCUGGCCCCUGCAGAAAGGUGGCUGGCAAAUUGGCACAGCCUUCCAUAUCUUU